rnacentral:rRNA from 1 species
GACGAACGCUGGCGGCGUGCCUAAUACAUGCAAGUAGAACGCACAGUUUAUACCGUAGCUUGCUACACCAUAGACUGUGAGUUGCGAACGGGUGAGUAACGCGUAGGUAACCUGCCUGGUAGCGGGGGAUAACUAUUGGAAACGAUAGCUAAUACCGCAUAAUAUUAAUUAUUGCAUGAUAAUUAAUUGAAAGGUGCAAUUGCACCACUACCAGAUGGACCUGCGUUGUAUUAGCUAGUAGGUGAGGUAACGGCUCACCUAGGCGACGAUACAUAGCCGACCUGAGAGGGUGAUCGGCCACACUGGGACUGAGACACGGCCCAGACUCCUACGGGAGGCAGCAGUAGGGAAUCUUCGGCAAUGGACGAAAGUCUGACCGAGCAACGCCGCGUGAGUGAAGAAGGUUUUCGGAUCGUAAAGCUCUGUUGUAAGAGAAGAACGGGUGUGGGAGUGGAAAGUUCACACUGUGACGGUAUCUUACCAGAAAGAGACGGCUAACUACGUG